rnacentral:snoRNA from 1 species
GUUGCUUCUACUGGUGAACUCUCUCUAUAAUUUUCGAAGUGGGGAUGUUCAUGUUUCCGAAGCAUACAUUAAUUUUUGUGUAACGCCAGUUUUAAACAGCGCUGUGUGUACUUUCCUGUCGCAUUGUGCUACCUGUCUACUGGUAUAAUU